rnacentral:rRNA from 1 species
GACGAACGCUGGCGGCGUGCUUAACACAUGCCAGUCGAACGGAAAGGCCCUGCUUUUGUGGGGUGCUCGAGUGGCGAACGGGUGAGUAACACGUGAGUAACCUGCCCUUGAAUUUGGGAUAACUUCAGGAAACUGGGGCUAAUACCGGAUAGGAGCUCCUGCUGCAUGGUGGGGGUUGGAAAGAUUCGGCGUUUGGGGAUGGACUCGCGGCUUAUCAGCUUGUUGGUGGGGUAGGGACUGACCAAGGCUUUGACGGGUAGCCGGCAUGGGAGGGUGACCGGCCACAUUGGGCCUGCGAUACGGCCCAGAAGCCUACGGGAGGCAGCAGGGGGGAAUAUUGCACAAUGGGCGGAAGCCUGAUGCAGCAACGCCGCGUGCGGGAUGACGGCCUUCGGGUUGUAAACCGAUUUCGCCUGUGACGAAGAGUGAGUGACGGUAAUGGGUAAAGAAGCACCGGCUAACUACGUG